GAGAUGGUUUCGUAGCCUCUUUAACAGCUCAGUGACAUCAGUCACAAUUUGAAAAGGAACUUUGGAUAUCUUACCAUGGCCUUCAAGUGAGCCACAUCAAUGCUUCCAUCUUUAUCCACCUCUACCACCUGAACCUUCAUACCAGCCAUCUGGGCACUUGCAGGAUUAGUACCAUGGGCUGAUUUAGGGAUCAGGCAUACCUGAGAACAACAUCAAAAAUCAGCUGACCAAAAGGACUGGGGCCGCAACUAAUGAUCCAUUUUCAUAGUUGAUUAAUCUGCCGCUUAUCCUCUUGAAGAGCAACUUGCAGGUUGAUUUCAAAACUGAAUUACUUCAUCUUAUAUGACAACGUAUUUUUAAAAAUGUAUAUGUACGAAUUAAUAUAUGUUAGUAUAAUAUAUGUUGCUACGUUCAUAUUACGUUCAUAUUACCGUUUACAUGUCACACAGCAUAUUCUGAUUUAUAACGACUUUAUCAAAGUUAUAAACGUUCCAAUGUUUCCAUUGUGUGCGUUCAGAUAUCUGUAAGUAUUGCUACAUUGUGUUUGUUACAUACCGUAAAACUUUAAAUUAAAGCUGAGUCCCAAAUAGAA